rnacentral:rRNA from 1 species
AUUGAACGCUGGCGGCAGGCUUAACACAUGCAAGUCGAGCGGAGAUGAGGUGCUUGCACCUUAUCUUAGCGGCGGACGGGUGAGUAAUGCUUAGGAAUCUGCCUAUUAGUGGGGGACAACAUUCCGAAAGGAAUGCUAAUACCGCAUACGUCCUACGGGAGAAAGCAGGGGAUCUUCGGACCUUGCGCUAAUAGAUGAGCCUAAGUCGGAUUAGCUAGUUGGUGGGGUAAAGGCCUACCAAGGCGACGAUCUGUAGCGGGUCUGAGAGGAUGAUCCGCCAGACUGGGACUGAGACACGGCCCAGACUCCUACGGGAGGCAGCAGUGGGGAAUAUUGGACAAUGGGGGAAACCCUGAUCCAGCCAUGCCGCGUGUGUGAAGAAGGCCUUAUGGUUGUAAAGCACUUUAAGCGAGGAGGAGGCUACUGAGACUAAUACUCUUGGAUAGUGGACGUUACUCGCAGAAUAAGCACCGGCUAACUCUGUGCCAGCCGCCGCAGUAG